GGCAAGAGAGGUAAGGACGGCCCACCAGGACCCUAUGGUUUGAAAGGAGAACAGGGAGAAAAGGGGAGACAAGGAUAUGAUGGAUUACCAGGAGAAACAGGCAGAACUGGAGACCCUGGUUUUCAGGGGAUAAGGGGUGACCUUGGAGAUCUGGGUCCAGAAGGAGAUCCAGAUGGUGGGGGUCAAGGUUGUCCUGGACCCAGAGGUGACCCUGGCCCACAAGGUCUUCCAGGAUUCCCG